rnacentral:lncRNA from 13 species
AUUAAUAAUAAAAUUUGAAUAUUUUAGAUCGACAAAGAGAAGUUUUAAAAGCCAUUAAGCAAAAUUCUUUGACAAGAAUUGAUCACAUUUCUAAUAGAGAACAUUGGGAAAAACAAAAAAAGGCUUAUCAUCCAAUACAUCAUCUAAUCAAUCAAUAUCUGAUAAUAUAAGUGAGAAUGUAAGUGACACUAUGAUAAUUGAUUUUGAGAUGGACGAUGCUGUACCAAUAGAAGAAACUUUUAGUAAUGACUGUGAUACAUAUAUUGAAAAUGAAAAUACAGAUUUAUUAGAAGAUAUUAAGAAAAACAAACGUGCAAAUGUCAAUAAAUCAUGUCUCAAUUUAAAGAAGCAAAAAAACGGAAAGAAUGACAUUAGUCUGUGAAAAAGAAAUGGAAUUAGCAGAUAUAAAAAUUAAUCACGAAAUAGAGAUAUGUAAACUCAAGAAAGAAAGAGAAGAGUUUAUCAAUAAAAUUACUGUGGAAAGGUUAAUCUUAGAAAAAAA